AUGGCUGAAGGGUCCAAUUAGAUUGUAACUCUAGUGAGGAGUCCCACUAAAACAGAAACUCUGGAGAAGAGUCCCACUAGGACUGGGACUCUACUUUUAAUGAAGAAUUAAUUAGUAAUUAGAUCACUAAUUAACUCAAUUUGAUUGAGUAAAGAGUUUUGGAUCAAGUCUAAUUGAAUUAGAUUCAGUUCAACUCAGAUUGGGUUUGAUAUGAUCAAUCCUAAUUACAAAAAAAAAUUGAUCAUGAUUCGAUUAGGAUUUGGACUCGACU
rnacentral:lncRNA from 1 species